CAUGCAGUCGAGGGGUAUAAGUCUUCGGAUUUAGAGACCGGCGCACGGGUGCGUAACGCGUAUGCAAUCUACCUUUUACAGAGGGAUAGCCCAGAGAAAUUUGGAUUAAUACCUCAUAGUGUUAUAGAAUGGCAUCAUUUUAUAAUUAAAGUCACAACGGUAAAAGAUGAGCAUGCGUCCCAUUAGCUAGUUGGUAAGGUAACGGCUUACCAAGGCUACGAUGGGUAGGGGUCCUGAGAGGGAGAUCCCCCACACUGGUACUGAGACACGGACCAGACUCCUACGGGAGGCAGCAGUGAGGAAUAUUGGACAAUGGGCGCAAGCCUGAUCCAGCCAUGCCGCGUGCAGGAUGACGGUCCUAUGGAUUGUAAACUGCUUUUAUACGAGAAGAAACACUGCUUCGUGAAGCAGCUUGACGGUAUCGUAAGAAUAAGGAUCGGCUAACUCCGUGCCAGCAGCCGCGGUAAUACGGAGGAUCCAAGCGUUAUCCGGAAUCAUUGGGUUUAAAGGGUCCGUAGGCGGUUUGGUAAGUCGGUGGUGAAAGCCCAUCGCUCAACGGUGGAACGGCCAUUGAUACUGCCAGACUUGAAUUAUUAGGAAGUAACUAGAAUAUGUAGUGUAGCGGUGAAAUGCUUAGAGAUUACAUGGAAUACCAAUUGCGAAGGCAGGUUACUACUAAUGGAUUGACGCUGAUGGACGAAAGCGUGGGUAGCGAACAGGAUUAGAUACCCUGGUAGUCCACGCCGUANACGAUGGAUACUAGCUGUUGGAAGCAAUUUCAGUGGCUAAGCGAAAGUGAUAAGUAUCCCACCUGGGGAGUACGUUCGCAAGAAUGAAACUCAAAGGAAUUGACGGGGGCCCGCACAAGCGGUGGAGCAUGUGGUUUAAUUCGAUGAUACGCGAGGAACCUU
rnacentral:rRNA from 1 species